UACGAAGGGGGCUAGCGUUGUUCGGAUUUACUGGGCGUAAAGCGCACGUAGGCGGUUUGUUAAGUCAGAGGUGAAAUCCUGGAGCUCAACUCCAGAACUGCCUUUGAUACUGGAGCUUGAGUCCGGGAGAGGUGAGUGGAACUGCGAGUGUAGAGGUGAAAUUCGUAGAUAUUCGCAAGAACACCAGUGGCGAAGGCGGCUCACUGGCCCGGUACUGACGCUGAGGUGCGAAAGCGUGGGGAGCAAACAGG
rnacentral:rRNA from 1 species